rnacentral:rRNA from 1 species
UCUCCUGGAAACGGGUGGUAAUGCCGGAUGCUCCAGUUGAUUGCAUGGUCUUCUGGGAAAGCUUUCGCGGUAUGGGAUGGGGUCGCGUCCUAUCAGCUUGACGGCGGGGUAACGGCCCACCGUGGCUUCGACGGGUAGCCGGCCUGAGAGGGCGACCGGCCACAUUGGGACUGAGAUACGGCCCAGACUCCUACGGGAGGCAGCAGUGGGGAAUAUUGCACAAUGGGCGCAAGCCUGAUGCAGCGACGCCGCGUGAGGGAUGGAGGCCUUCGGGUUGUAAACCUCUUUUAUCGGGGAGCAAGCGAGAGUGAGUUUACCCGUUGAAUAAGCACCGGCUAACUACGUGCCAGCAGCCGCGGUAAUACGUAGGGUGCAAGCGUUAUCCGGAAUUAUUGGGCGUAAAGGGCUCGUAGGCGGUUCGUCGCGUCCGGUGUGAAAGUCCAUCGCUUAACGGUGGAUCCGCGCCGGGUACGGGCGGGCUUGAGUGCGGUAGGGGAGACUGGAAUUCCCGGUGUAACGGUGGAAUGUGUAGAUAUC